GCACAAGCGGUGGAGCAUGUGGUUUAAUUCGACGCAACGCGCAGAACCUUACCAGCCCUUGACAUGUCCAGGACCGGUCGCAGAGAUGUGACCUUCUCUUCGGAGCCUGGAACACAGGUGCUGCAUGGCUGUCGUCAGCUCGUGUCGUGAGAUGUUGGGUUAAGUCCCGCAACGAGCGCAACCCCCGUCCUUAGUUGCUACCAUUUAGUUGAGCACUCUAAGGAGACUGCCGGUGAUAAGCCGCGAGGAAGGUGGGGAUGACGUCAAGUCCUCAUGGCCCUUACGGGCUGGGCUACACACGUGCUACAAUGGCGGUGACAAUGGGAAGCGAAGGCGCAAGCCCUAGCAAAUCUCAAAAAACCGUCUCAGUUCGGAUUGGGCUCUGCAACUCGAGCCCAUGAAGUUGGAAUCGCUAGUAAUCGUGGAUCAGCACGCCACGGUGAAUACGUUCCCGGGC
rnacentral:rRNA from 1 species